rnacentral:rRNA from 1 species
ACUCCUACGGGAGGCAGCAGUGGGGAAUCUUAGACAAUGGGGGAAACCCUGAUCUAGCCAUGCCGCGUGAGUGAUGAAGGCCCUAGGGUCGUAAAGCUCUUUCAGCUGUGAAGAUAAUGACGGUAGCAGCAGAAGAAACCCCGGCUAACUCCGUGCCAGCAGCCGCGGUAAUACGGAGGGGGUUAGCGUUGUUCGGAAUUACUGGGCGUAAAGCGCGCGUAGGCGGAUUAGUCAGUCAGAGGUGAAAUCCCGGGGCUCAACCCCGGAACUGCCUUUGAUACUGCUAGUCUUGAGUUCGAGAGAGGUGAGUGGAAUUCCGAGUGUAGAGGUGAAAUUCGUAGAUAUUCGGAGGAACACCAGUGGCGAAGGCGGCUCACUGGCUCGAUACUGACGCUGAGGUGCGAAAGUGUGGGGAGG